GACGAACGCUGGCGGCGUGCUUAACACAUGCAAGUCGAAUGGAAAGGCCCUGCUUUUGUGGGGUGCUCGAGUGGCGAACGGGUGAAUAACACGUGAGUAACCUGCCCUUGACUUUGGGAUAACUUCAGGAAACUGGGGCUAAUACCGGAUAGGAGCUCCUGCUGCAUGGUGGGGGUUGGAAAGUUUCGGCGGUUGGGGAUGGACUCGCGGCUUAUCAGCUUGUUGGUGGGGUAGUGGCUUACCAAGGCUUUGACGGGUAGCCGGCCUGAGAGGGUGACCGGCCACAUUGGGACUGAGAUACGGCCCAGACUCCUACGGGAGGCAGCAGUGGGGAAGAUUGCACAAUGGGCGGAAGCCUGAUGCAGCAACGCCGCGUGCGGGAUGACGGCCUUCGGGUUGUAAACCGCUUUCGCCUGUGACGAAGCGUGAGUGACGGUAAUGGGUAAAGAAGCACCGGCUAACUACGUG
rnacentral:rRNA from 1 species